rnacentral:rRNA from 1 species
UUUCCGUAGGUGAACCUGCGGAAGGAUUAUUG